rnacentral:rRNA from 1 species
AUUGUAGGCUGAAACCCGCCUACAUGAAGCUGGAAUUGCUAGUAAUCAUAGGUCAGCAUACUAUGGUGAAUACGUUCCCGGGCCUUGUACACACCGCCCGUCACACCAUGAGAGUUGAGAAUACCCGAAGUCCAUGUCAAAGUGGCCGAAGGUAGGCUUGAUGAUUGGGUGAAGUCGUAACAAGGUAGC